CCACAGCAGGCCGAUGCAAUGGACCCCAUGAUGUCGUUACAGCAGCAACAGCUUCAGCAUCCCCAGGCUGGCCCCCAUGGCCCCAUGGCCCCCCAGGGUUCUCACCACAUGCAGGCCAUGCAGGCCGGGAGGCAGCUCA